GCAAAUUAUUUUGCAUUUGUUGAUAUGGGUGUCGUCUGUUUAACAAUUGUGAGUGACAAUGCGGCUGCUCUGGGUGGUCGUAGCGGCGGCGGACCGGCGAUUAUCUUGGGGAAUUUUCAGCAGCAGAAUUUUUAUAUGGAGUAUGAUUUGGAUAACGAAAGAUUCGGAUUUAAACAACAAAGUUGUGCGUGAGCUGGUUUUGUCUAUUCACUAAAUAAAUCACAUUAAUCAUAUCGGACAUCAUAAUUAGAGGGUUUUAAUGUUGUUUACAUUGACUCUGCAAUAAAGGGUUGAAGGAUAGAUUGCGGCGGCGACUGCGGCGGCAACGGUAACGUAGAAUGUUGAUAUAGUGGCCAUUGGCUGUGGCUGCAGCAAUUGGUAAAGGUGGCCAAAUAUUGAUCUAUGUUUUAUUUUUCCCUACAAUCAUUAUUGGAAAAGUUGAAUAUAUAAUUAUAGGUUUUUUAAGCAAAGGAUUUGUUCAUCAUUGUUAAUCGUCAUUUUAAGGAAACACCUUUUAGAAAGGAUAAUUUAAUGCUUAAUAAUUCAAUU
rnacentral:misc_RNA from 1 species